ACUUAAUUUUUAUUAGUGCUGUAUUAUCAUGUCAUAUUAUACGUAUAAUUAAUAAAGCUUUUGAUUAUUAAAUUUGUGAUAUUAAAUAGAUUAUGGUCAUUCACAAGCGUAAACAGGUCGUUGUUGGCUGUGUGACAUUCGCUAGAUUUUGUACCGUGGCGUAUGGUACGCGGUAUUAGUCCAGUCGAACUACACAUAGUGUGCGAUGUCUGAUAAAUGUGUCACAGGUCGCGGGACUCCGUUUAACACGAAGCGAUAUUGGACACAGUACCGCGUCGCUUAUUAUUAUAUUAUUAAUAAAUUUUGUAAUUUAUUAUUUCAGAUGAAAAAUCUACUUGUUAUGCAUGUAAAAAAGUAUUUCGCAAAAAUAGUAAAAAAAUAAAUAGGACUAAUUGUUGUAAGAACACUGUAUGUGAUAAAUGUUUUCAUGAUAAAUAUUCUAAAUAUUACGCAAGAAUUCAAAAACCGUGUCCAUGUUAUAAGGAGUGUAGUAGUAGUGAUGCCGUAAAUUUUAACGAAAAUUCUAAAAAUAUUGUUGACAACAACGUUAGCCAAGACACUAUAAAAUGUUUAAACAAAGAAUGUACGAUUUGCUUUACGAAAUCAAAAAAUUGAAAAUACAAUUAUUACUCUAUUUGUCCUCGUAUGGUUUGCAAAGAUUGCUCCAAAAUAAACAAAAAUAACAAUAAUAUUAGCAAACAUUUUUAAGAUAAUAAUAUGUUAUAAAAUUCAUACAACUUUUUUCUGAAGAUGUCUGGACAUAUUUUGUAAUGACUUUGUAUAAUAUCGUUAUCUAAACAUAAUUUUGAAAAUUAAUUAAGCAAAUUUUAAUUAAAAAAUAUGUAUUAACUUCUCAAUUUUCUAUCAAUUAAUAUUUUAAUUGUCUUAUUAAUAAGAGUAAUUUGUAUUCUCAGUUUUAUUUUACUUCCUCAUUAUUUUAAUUACUUUAUUUAGAUAUUUAAUUAGAUAAAUUACAUUUAUGUAAUUCAAAAAUUUUAAAUUGUAAUAUUCAUAAUUUAAUUUUGAUUCAGACUGAUAUAAUUAAAAAUGAAC